rnacentral:piRNA from 1 species
UUCCAGAAAAAAAACAAACCACAAAGCCA